CGAUUACAAGAAUUGAGAAUUUUCUGUUUUUCAAUUCCUGUUUUUAGAAAAAGAGAUGACUGAUUAUUUUUUUCAUUGUUUAAUGGAAUUUUACUGCACUAAGCGCAGUGUCAUGCGUAUAAAAUAAAUUUGAUUGAAAUUUGAUAUUGAGAAAGAAAGGUGGGGAUGUCAAUUGGGCUUGUCGAAUUUGGUCGAGUUGUCGCACGUGGAUGCAUUGUAUACAUAAAGAGUAAAUAAAAAAAAAAGUAAACAAUAAAAAUAUUAAAUUAAAACUUAAUUAUAUGGUGAAUAGCACAUUUUAAUUUGAUCAAAUAUGAGUCAGUGUAAAAAAUUACGUAAAUUAGAGUCGAAAAAAUCCUCUGUCAAAGAAAAUAAAGAAGACUAUCAGCAUCAAUAUGUAGAUGCAUACGCCGACAAUAAGAUUCUUGGCCGUGUUAAUGAUGAUUGCUGGGCUGAAAUAUUCAUGUAUUUGUCACCAUUUGAAAGGCCAAAAG